rnacentral:rRNA from 1 species
AACGAACGCUGGCGGCAGGCUUAACACAUGCAAGUCGAGCGCCCCGCAAGGGGAGCGGCAGACGGGUGAGUAACGCGUGGGAAUCUACCCAUCACUACGGAACAACUCCGGGAAACUGGAGCUAAUACCGUAUACGUCCUUCGGGAGAAAGAUUUAUCGGUGAUGGAUGAGCCCGCGUUGGAUUAGCUAGUUGGUGGGGUAAUGGCCCACCAAGGCGACGAUCCAUAGCUGGUCUGAGAGGAUGAUCAGCCACACUGGGACUGAGACACGGCCCAGACUCCUACGGGAGGCAGCAGUGGGGAAUAUUGGACAAUGGGCGCAAGCCUGAUCCAGCCAUGCCGCGCGAGUGAUGAAGGCCCUAGGGUUGUAAAGCUCUUUCACCGGUGAAGAUAAUGACGGUAACCGGAGAAGAAGCCCCGGCUAACUUCGUGCCAGCCGCCGCUGUAA